UACGGAGGGUGCAAGCGUUAUCCGGAUUCACUGGGUUUAAAGGGUGCGUAGGCGGGCAGGUAAGUCAGUGGUGAAAUCUCCGAGCUUAACUCGGAAACUGCCAUUGAUACUAUUUGUCUUGAAUAUUGUGGAGGUAAGCGGAAUAUGUCAUGUAGCGGUGAAAUGCUUAGAUAUGACAUAGAACACCAAUUGCGAAGGCAGCUUACUACACAAUGAUUGACGCUGAGGCACGAAAGCGUGGGAUCAAACAGG
rnacentral:rRNA from 1 species